UAUGGUAAAAAGAAGGCUCAAACUUCCCUUGGCGAGUUUACAGCUCACCGCCUGCUCUCUCGGCCACUUUACCU
rnacentral:tRNA from 1 species